rnacentral:lncRNA from 1 species
GGGCUCCUCCCACCUCCCCCAGCAGCUCAAGUUCACCACCUCCGACUCCUGCGACCGCAUCAAGGAUGAGUUCCAGCUGCUACAAGCGCAGUACCACAGUAGGGGAAACUGAGUAACCUCGCCUGCCCAGGAUUGCAGAAAACCCAGGGGUGUCCUUAAAUGCAGCCAGAUGUGGUGUUUGGCCCUGUCUCAGUUUGCAUCUUGGGGCUGUGGCUCAGUUGGCAGGAGAAUCAGGACUUCAAAGUCAUCCUCAGCUACAUACCUGAAGCUGGAGUGUGACAAGCUGGCCAGCGAGAAGUCAGAGAUGCAAAGGCAUUACGUCAUG